rnacentral:tmRNA from 1 species
GGGGCUGACCGGUUUCGACGUCGAGUCUGUGACCCCACCGUGCGACCGGAGUUGCUCAGACUCCUUAAACGGGGCACACAAGUAACCGCCGAUGGCGAUUACGCUCUCGCCGCCUGAUCUGAUCAGGUGAUCCGAGAGACACAGCGACCAGCAAUGGCACGCGGGGCCUGACCACGACAGCCCGGCAACAGGAGUCGUGGUGGACGGCGGGAGAGACCGCUGACCGCAGGGAAAGACCGCUGACCGCUCGGAAAGACGAGCCGGUGCCCGAGAGGGCCGCCCACCCGGGGGUGCACCAGCCGUGAAGGUGCGAGCUCGGGAACGGUCGUAGCGCGGUCGGUGAUCGCUUGGCGGACGGGGGUUCGAUUCCCCCCAGCUCCACCA